rnacentral:lncRNA from 1 species
AAUUUUGUCUGAGGCAACAGCAUGAUAGGAUUUUGUUUUGUGUUUUAAGGACAAUGACUCUACUAUUUGUACAUAUGAAAACAGGCGGGGGAUUGAAGAGAAGAGGACCAGCCAAAGUUACAUAUAUGGUCAAUGCACAGAAAGAAAUCUGUCUCCUGACUUUAGGACAAUGGCACGAUUGGUGGCCACAGUCCAAGGAUGGUUGCUGGUGAGCAGUUACAGAUGCCCCAAGACACAGCAGGCUUUGAAUUGGCAAGGAACCAAGUUUCUCUAGAAGGCAUAGAGUAAUCUAUAUUGAAAGAUUCUUAUUGGUUGAAAAAGGUGCGGAG